rnacentral:rRNA from 1 species
CAACCGAAAGCGGAAGCAGCUUGCUGCGGAAGAUUUCAUCCGGGGUGACUGAGUGGCGGACGGGUGAGUAACGCGUGGGUAACCUGCCCCAUAGAGGGGGACAACAGUUGGAAACGACUGCUAAUACCGCAUAGUAAGGAACUGCCGCAUGACGGUUUCUUGAAAGAUUUAUCGCUAUGGGAUGGACCCGCGUCUGAUUAGCUAGUUGGUAAGGUAACGGCUUACCAAGGCGACGAUCAGUAGCCGGCUUGAGAGAGUGAACGGCCACAUUGGGACUGAGACACGGCCCAAACUCCUACGGGAGGCAGCAGUGGGGAAUAUUGCACAAUGGGGGAAACCCUGAUGCAGCGACGCCGCGUGAGUGAAGAAGUAUUUCGGUAUGUAAAGCUCUAUCAGCAGGGAAGAUAAUGACGGUACCUGACUAAGAAGCCCCGGCUAACUACGUGCCAGCAGCCGCGGUAAUACGUAGGGGGCAAGCGUUAUCCGGAUUUACUGGGUGUAAAGGGUGCGUAGGUGGCAGGGCAAGUCAGAUGUGAAAGCCCGGGGCUCAACCCCGGUAUUGCAUUUGAAACUGUCCGGCUGGAGUGCAGGAGAGGUAAGCGGAAUUCCUAGUGUAGCGGUGAAAUGCGUAGAUAUUAGGAGGAACACCAGUGGCGAAGGCGGCUUACUGGACUGUAACUGACACUGAGGCACGAAAGCGUGGGGAGCAAACAGGAUUAGAUACCCUGGUAGUCCACGCCGUAAACG